UACGAAGGGGGCUAGCGUUGCUCGGAAUCACUGGGCGUAAAGCGCACGUAGGCGGAUCGUUAAGUCGGAGGUGAAAUCCUGGAGCUCAACUCCAGAACUGCCUUUGAUACUGGCGAUCUCGAGUCCGGGAGAGGUGAGUGGAACUGCGAGUGUAGAGGUGAAAUUCGUAGAUAUUCGCAAGAACACCAGUGGCGAAGGCGGCUCACUGGCCCGGUACUGACGCUGAGGUGCGAAAGCGUGGGAGCAAACAGG
rnacentral:rRNA from 1 species